AUAAAAAACUUCAAGAGCCUUCUUUUCCUCACCACCUUUUUACACUCCACAGCAUUGAGAGGUAGAGAGAGAGAGAGAGAGAGAGAGAGAGAGAAUGGGAGUGUCUUAUUGUGUAGAGGAGAACAAGGCUUGUGUUGGGUGGGUUGAGAAAUACUUUCAAGACUGUCUUUGCAAUCUGAAAGAUGAAUUCUCAUUUGCUUUUGGGCUCAUAAGUUUGGUGUGUUGGGGUGUGGCGGAGAUCCCACAGAUCAUAACCAACUUCCGCACAAAGUCAAGCCAUGGUGUCUCCCUUGCUUUUCUCCUCACUUGGGUUGCCGGAGAUGUGUUUAAUCUUGUGGGUUGUCUUCUUGAACCGGCAACGUUGCCAACCCAGUACUAUACAGCUCUGCUUUACACAACAAGUACCGUGGUGUUAGUGCUUCAGAGUAUAUACUAUGACCACAUCUAUAGAUGGUGUAAACGCCGGAAGACUACCACCAAGCAAUCAACUGAGGAAGAUCAAAGAAAACCGUUGAACAAUUCCAAGCCAGCUGAUGAAUCAGGCAUUCCAAUACCAAGGCCUUCGACCAAAGCCAGUAGUGGUACUCCCCGGAGGGAGUUCUACUAUACGUCAGCAAGGUCACUGGCUGGUAGUGGAACUCCACCCUUUCGGACGUAUCUUAGGGCGGCUAGAAGUGGUCCUUCAGCAAUGGCCAUUGAAAGUGACUCGUCUUCGGACGAUGAGGCAACUGUUCCACUUCGCUCCAACAAAUCUACCACCCAACCUCGCCCAAUCCCAAAAUCGGCAGGUUAUUAUGGAACAUUUCUAGCAGCAUCAGUAAACCUCCCCCUUAAAAGUAACUCUUUGACACAAGUAUACAUGGGAGUUGCUGCAAGAAAACUACUCUUACAGCAGAGCGGAGGUGAGAACCAUACUGUAUAUGGGCAAUGGUUGGGAUGGAUGAUGGCUGCUAUUUACAUGGGCGGUCGACUCCCCCAGAUAUGGUUAAACAUCAAAAGAGGAAGCGUUGAGGGCUUGAAUCCUCUCAUGUUCAUCUUUGCACUGAUUGCAAAUGUCACUUAUGUGGGAAGUAUUCUUGUAAGAAGCACCGAGUGGGAAAGAACAAAGGCUAAUAUGCCAUGGUUGCUGGAUGCUGUCGUUUGUGUGGCACUCGACUCAUUUAUAAUACUGCAAUACAUGUAUUACAGAUAUUGGCGGAGGAACAGAAGCAGUAGUAGUGGAGAAAUCUACGGGGACUACUACGAGGAAGCAAGUAAAUCUGCGGAAUCUUGAUUGUAAUAUUUCAUCGAUCAUUGCGUGACCAUGACCUUUACGGUUCAAAAAUGGCUCAUCUCGCUGAGUAUUGAUUGUUCAAUUUGAAGAAAUCAUUUGCUGCUUUUGGCUGAGUGUGGCUAUGUUCGUUUUACCGUGAAGAGUCGAUUUCAAGGAUUUGAUGGAGUUAUUAGUUGUCGGAAAGUGGAGCCAGUUUUGUCUGAACUACCACAGGGAUUGAUAGCCAAGUGAUUAGAUUGAUGUCGUUUCCCCAAAUCCCACUGUGAUGAUUUCAUUUGAACCCUUUUACUACUGCUGAAAAUAAAAAGGAAAAAAGGAAAAAAAAAAAAAAAAAAAAAAAAAAAAAAAAAAAUUUUUGGGAGGAUGAUAAAUGCUUAGAUCAUGUUCAAUGCAAACGCUAAUAUAAGUUGCAUAUUUGAUACUAAAAUGUGAUAAUGGCAUAUUUAAUAUGUUAUU